GGCUGCUUGGCCCAAUUGGAAAGGCGUCUGACUACGAUCGAGUAUGUAUAACAUGAUCGGUUAGUUAUCAGGAGAUUCUGGGUUCGAGCCCCAGGGUGGUCA